ACCUGGUUGGCUCAGUGGGAAGAGCAUGUGACUCUUGAUCUCAGGGUUGUGAGUUCAAGCCCCAUGUGUGGUG
rnacentral:tRNA from 1 species